UAUCUGUCUCCAACACAGCUCCCAAAAAAAGACAAAGUCGGCGGGAGGGGCUGAGAUGGAGGGGAUGUGAGUACAAGAGAUACUGGAGGACUAGUAUAGAGGAGCAUACACCCUCGCAACACAAGAACGAAGUCGAUUCUGCAACACCGUUAAUUUGGACCAUAUUUACCCUGAAAGCAGUGUUGGCUCUCCUGGCUGCCUCUCUGUUCGCCCACACACCACAGCCGAGCCACCAACCACCAUCUUUUACUCCAAAGCUGUCGCCAUGGAAACGGGGCCGCCGCUCCUGGCACAGCAGCCCCCCUUUUUUUCCAGUGCUGAUGACAUCGUAGUAGCAACAAUGAAAGGUGGCAGCUGUGGCUCUGGAGGAUGAGCGGGUCAUCAACCAAACUUCUCAGGUCUGCAUGUUGACGUAUCCUUGGGCAAGAUACUGAACCCUGGGUUGCCUCCAUGCAUCCAUUGGAAAAAAAAUGUGUUAGGAGUUGACUUGCGGGGGUCAGAGUCUCCAUCAUUCCAGGAAAAAAAACACCUGAAUAACAACAGCUGCACUAUCUGCCAGUAUGUGAGCUCACAGGUUCGGGUGAUGCUGGCAGUACACUAAGCAGACAAACCCAGACUUCCCUCUCUCCGGCCACCUCUUCCAGCCCUCCGAGGGGACAUUCUCAAGCCAGCCGAGAGAUAUAACCCCUUCAGUGUUCCUGGGUCUGCCCUGGAGCUUCCUCCCGGUAGGACAUGCCCAAAACACCUUUCCCGGGAGGCGUCCAGGAGGCACCCUAGUCAGCCGAACCACUUUCAAUGGUUCCUUUCGAUGUGGAGGAGAGGCAGCUCUACUCUGAGAAUAAAAGCAAUACAAAUCAUACUAAUGCUGUAUAUGUAGCCAAACAUGAUAUUUCCUUUAUGCCAUAGUACUUCAUUGUUUUCUAAAAUGUGGUAAAUAACUGAACCACACUCUUAAAUUGUUUGAUGAG